rnacentral:rRNA from 1 species
UACGUAGGGUGCAAGCGUUGUCCGGAAUUAUUGGGCUUAAAGAGCUCGUAGGCGGUUUGUCGCGUCUGCUGUGAAAACUCGGGGCUUAACUCCGGGCCUGCAGUGGGUACGGGCAGACUAGAGUGCGGUAGGGGAGACUGGAAUUCCUGGUGUAGCGGUGAAAUGCGCAGAUAUCAGGAGGAACACCGGUGGCGAAGGCGGGUCUCUGGGCCGUAACUGACGCUGAGGCGCGAAAGCGUGGGGAGCAAACAGG